rfam:Medicago truncatula strain A17 chromosome 1, whole genome shotgun sequence.
CCCAUAAAUAAUAAAAGGUCCAUUUAGGUCCCUUAACUUUAUUUAAAUUAUCAGUUUGGUUCUGUUAAUUUAAUUCAAAAAAGCGUUAAGUUUAGGGACUAAACUAAUACUAAUUAAAUAAAAUAAGGGACAAAACUAAUACUAUUAAAAUAAGUUAAGAGACCAAAAUUUAACGUUCUUUUGAAUUAAAUUGACAUAAAGGAUCAAACUGAUGCUUUAAAUAAAGUUAAGGGACCUAAACAUAAUUUUUAUUACUUAUGGGA